rnacentral:rRNA from 1 species
CAGUAGCCGCGGGAAUACAGAGGGUGCGAGCGUUAAUCGGAUUUACUGGGCGUAAAGCGUGCGUAGGCGGCUUUUUAAGUCGGAUGUGAAAUCCCUGAGCUUAACUUAGGAAUUGCAUUCGAUACUGGGAAGCUAGAGUAUGGGAGAGGAUGGUAGAAUUCCAGGUGUAGCGGUGAAAUGCGUAGAGAUCUGGAGGAAUACCGAUGGCGAAGGCAGCCAUCUGGCCUAAUACUGACGCUGAGGUACGAAAGCGUGGGGAGCAAACAGGAUUAGAUACCCCCGUAGUCCCUGUCUCUUAUAC